CGAUUUCGACUAUCAUAAAGUAAACGUGUAGAAAUCGUGCGAGAAUUUCCAUGAAAAUCGAAGAAUUUGGAGUGAAUUUAAGAAAAAUUUCAAUGAAAUCUUAAUUUAAAAUUGGAUUCGUAUCAUAAUCUCACAGGUUAAAUUAAAGUAAACAAAUUAAAUUGGAUUGCCGUUGCUAAGCAACCGAGUUCAUUUCAACGAUGAUAAAGAAAGCGUCAAAAUUAUUUCAAGAUUUUUUGGCGAAAUCGAAGAAUUUUAAACAAAUUGAAGCCAAUUUAAGCAAAUUUUAGCCAAUUAAAAUCUGAUUCACCUAAAUAUUCAGUUUUAGUUAUUGCCGAUCGACACAUUGUACUCGCGAUCCUACGCGUUCAAUUGUGUCCAAGUAUUCUAAGUAUAUUCUAUAGUUACGUGGCUUUCUGUUUUGUAAGUGUUUCAACUAUUUUUUUGUUUUCAACGGCGAUGACGACAACGUGUCACCAUUUACGUCUGGCAUAAAAUGUGGAUUGGGUUUGUUUGUGAUUGUGGGCGGAAGUUUCCCGGUUAAAUAAUCAUUGAAGCAGUAGAAAAGGAAAUCUCGAUUUAAUAAUAAUAAUUAUCGUAAACCUUGCUUAAUCGUGAUAUUGGUACAAAUUCCUGUGCAUGAAGAUUACGACUUAGUGUUGAAUCCAACAAGUUGGAUUAAUUGUGUAUGAUAAAUGUAAUUUGAGGUUGGAAAUAUGCAAAGAACAAAAUGAUGAAGUAGCGUGUUAAGGAUACUUAUUUGUAUUCAUGACCAAAUUAACUUAUCUCUAUAACGCUGCUGCGCCAAGAUCACAAGCUAUACUAACUCCAUUACCUCCAUAGGCUAAGUUUGUUACCUGCUUUAUGUUAACAGCUAUCUUGUUACCUCUUGAGUUAUUUAGCUCUUUGUAGAACAUAGAAAAGGAAUCAGAAGUUGUGCUGAAUUGAGAAGAAAUUUAUUAUCAUAUUCAUUAUGAUUAUGGUUAAUCUUGCUUGUUGAUUCAUCAUUAGUUCUAAUGUUAAAGACGUAUGCUGAAGCAGGAAUAUGUUGGAAGAAGAAUAUGCAAGAAAUAUGGCUACAAAGAUAAUCUACAUUCACAAAUUCAGUGAAACUAAAGAUCUUGACUAUAAAUUUUUAAUUGGACUUUAGACGUGAUAUGUCACUCGGAGGGGGCUAUCCAAUUUUUCUGGAACAAUUAUGUAGGCGAAAGAUAUUGCAACUAACUCUUAUGGAUAAGACACUGAUUAGAAUCAUAGCGGCGAAGCAGAUAUAGAACAGUUUAAAGAGUACUCUAUAAAGUAUUAACUCUACGAAAAACAGUAUCAAUGGUUGGGAAGUUGUUUCAUGUAAUUGCUGUAUACUUAGGACUCGAGCACUUUGGGAAAAAUUUAACAUUUACCACAUAAAGGAUGAAGAUAUGAAUAUCUCCCUGUAUCAACAUGAAUGGAGAAUGAAAUCGUUAUAAAAUAUCGGUGUCUCGACAACAUUAGGCUAACACAAUGCUAGAGUUUUACAAAGUUUUGCACUGAAGUAAAUGCAAGGACUGCAAGAAUCAUAUGAUUUUGAGAAUAUUCAUCUUGACAUAGGAUGUGGUACAAUUUCUAAAUGAAAAAUUAGCUUUGUGAUAAACGCAAUAUUAGUGUAUACAAUUUUGUUUGUUUUUAAAAUUUAAAAUCUUUCGCCGUACUGCCUCUACUAUGAUAUCUCCUUUCCAAUAUUGAUAUACAACUUUUUUUAGAUUUUUGUUAAUAAAACAAUGUUGCAUAUA